AUGAGUUUAAUGCUUCAAGCUUUACUGGACAAGUAUAAUGAGGAUCACAAUCUUGUUGGGGAUCUUGCGUACGAAUUCAAGGAUUUUUUGCACUAUCAAUCAAUUUGUGAAGACUAUAAGUGGUUCAAGCAUUUCAAUUUCACUACAAAGACUAAAGACGGAAUUGAGGAUCUUUUCUUUGCUGAAGUGAUAGAGGGAACUGAUGAUGAAUUAGUGGCCAACUGUUUCUGCAAGAUUGAAUCCAAUGAAAAUGGCCACUGCUAUGGUUGCAUAAAUCAUGGAUUUAUUGAUAUGAAGCACCCCAACAAGGCUGAUGCAUACGCUGGUGGUCACUUGAACGUAUAUUUGCCAUUUGGUGGGUGUAGAAGACGUCCUAACACGUGGACAGGCUCUAAGGAAGAUGUGGCAGCUGAGGAAGCUAGGCUGAGAUACAUCUACUGUAUACGAUGA
rnacentral:rRNA from 1 species